rnacentral:rRNA from 1 species
CACGUAGGGCGCAAGCGUUGUCCGGAAUUAUUGGGCGUAAAGAGCUCGUAGGCGGUCUGUUGCGUCCGCUGUGAAAACCCGGGGCUUAACCCUGGGCUGGCAGUGGAUACGGGCAGACUAGAGUGCGGUAGGGGAGACUGGAAUUCCUGGUGUAGCGGUGAAAUGCGCAGAUAUCAGGAGGAACACCGGUGGCGAAGGCGGGUCUCUGGGCCGUAACUGACGCUGAGGAGCGAAAGCGUGGGGAGCGAACAGG